UGGCUGUUUCUUCUGCUUUCUUAGUUGGGCGUUAGCUUUGCUUCACUUAACCUGAUUGUUCACCAGCAUUAUCAUUCUUUUUCUUGCUUGAUGCAUAUCUUUAUCUUCUUGACCUGUCGUCCACAGGGACAUUAUCAUUAUGAUGAGGAUGUUUUUAGAUAUGCAUGCAGACUGAGCAAGUUAAAUCUGAAUUAUGUUCUUCACCAUCAUUCAGUCAGGAAAUUUUGGGUGGAGGCAUAUAGCCUUCCUGCAGUAAAGACUAAAGACUUUAGAUCACCUACAAUCCCUUCACAAUCCUCA
rnacentral:misc_RNA from 1 species